rnacentral:rRNA from 1 species
GGAAUUAUUGGGCGUAAAGAGCUCGUAGGCGGUUUGUCGCGUCUGCUGUGAAAUCCCGAGGCUCAACCUCGGGCCUGCAGUGGGUACGGGCAGACUAGAGUGCGGUAGGGGAGAUUGGAAUUCCUGGUGUAGCGGUGGAAUGCGCAGAUAUCAGGAGGAACACCGAUGGCGAAGGCAGAUCUCUGGGCCGUAACUGACGCUGAGGAGCGAAAGGGUGGGGAGCAAACAGGCUUAGAUACCCUGGUAGUCCACCCCGUAAACGUUGGGAACUAGUUGUGGGGUCCUUUCCACGGAUUCCGUGACGCAGCUAACGCAUUAAGUUCCCCGCCUGGGGAGUACGGCCGCAAGGCUAAAACUCAAAGGAAUUGACGGGGACCCGCACAAGCGGCGGAGCAUGCGGAUUAAUUCGAUGCAACGCGAAGAACCUUACCAAGGCUUGACAUACACGAGAACACUCUAGAAAUAGGGGACUCUUUGGACACUCGUGAACAGGUGGUGCAUGGUUGUCGUCAGCUCGUGUCGUGAGAUGUUGGGUUAAGUCCCGCAACGAGCGCAACCCUCGUUCUAUGUUGCCAGCACGUAAUGGUGGGAACUCAUGGGAUACUGCCGGGGUCAACUCGGAGGAAGGUGGGGAUGACGUCAAAUCAUCAUGCCCCUUAUGUCUUGGGCUUCACGCAUGCUACAAUGGCCGGUACAAAGGGCUGCAAUACCGUGAGGUGGAGCGAAUCCCAAAAAGCCGGUCCCAGUUCGGAUUGAGGUCUGCAACUCGACCUCAUGAAGUCGGAGUCGCUAGUAAUCGCAGAUCAGCAACGCUGCGGUGAAUACGUUCCCGGGUCUUGUACACACCGCCCGUCAAGUCAUGAAAGUCGGUAACACCUGAAGCCGGUGGCCCAACCCUUGUGGAGGGAGCCGUCGAAGGUGGGAUCGGUAAUUAGGACUAAGUCG